rnacentral:rRNA from 1 species
AACGAACGCUGGCGGCAUGCCUAACACAUGCAAGUCGAACGAGACCUUCGGGUCUAGUGGCGCACGGGUGCGUAACGCGUGGGAACCUGCCCUUAGGUUCGGAAUAACUCCCCGAAAGGGGUGCUAAUACCGGAUAAUGUCUUCGGACCAAAGAUUUAUCGCCUUUGGAGGGGCCCGCGUUGGAUUAGCUAGUUGGUAGGGUAAAAGCCUACCAAGGCGACGAUCCAUAGCUGGUCUGAGAGGAUGAUCAGCCACACUGGGACUGAGACACGGCCCAGACUCCUACGGGAGGCAGCAGUGGGGAAUAUUGGAAAAUGGGCGAAAGCCUGAUCCAGCAAUGCCGCGUGAGUGAUGAAGGCCUUAGGGUUGUAAAGCUCUUUUACCCGGGAUGAUAAUGACAGUACCGGGAGAAUAAGCUCCGGCUAACUCCGUG